rnacentral:rRNA from 1 species
AUUGAACGCUGGCGGCAUGCCUUACACAUGCAAGUCGAACGGUAACAGGUCUUCGGAUGCUGACGAGUGGCGAACGGGUGAGUAAUACAUCGGAACGUGCCCGAUCGUGGGGGAUAACGGAGCGAAAGCUUUGCUAAUACCGCAUAAGAUCUAUGGAUGAAAGCAGGGGACCGCAAGGCCUUGCGCGAACGGAGCGGCCGAUGGCAGAUUAGGUAGUUGGUGGGAUAAAAGCUUACCAAGCCGACGAUCUUUAGCUGGUCUGAGAGGACGACCAGACACACUGGGACUGAGACACGGCCCAGACUCCUACGGGAGGCAGCAGUGGGGAAUUUUGGACAAUGGGCGCAAGCCUGAUCCAGCCAUGCCGCGUGCAGGAUGAAGGCCUUCGGGUUGUAAACUGCUUUGUACGGAGCGAAAAGACUCUUUCUAAUAAAGAGGGUCCAUGACGGUACCGUAAGAAUAAGCACCGGCUAACUACGUGCCAGCCGCCGCCGUAAAAC